CUUGAUAAUUUUAUUUAUUUUUAAAUUUUAAUAAAUUUACUAUAAUUUUAUUUAAUAAAUUUAAAUAAACCCAAAGGCUUGGCAUUUGAGGGUAAAUAACUUGCCCAGGGUCACACAGCUAGAAAGUGUCUGAAGUCACUUUUGAACCCAGGACCUCUCUGUCUCCAGACCUGGCUCUCUUUCCCCGGAGCCACCUCACGGUUCCUCAGGCAAGAGGAAGCAUUUUUGCAACAGCCAAGUGUGCAGAAUGAGUAUUCUCAGACCAUCCAGACUUGCUUGUGAGGUUCAGAGGCCACUGGGUUGAGACUGACAGCAGCAGGUGUCGGCUUCAUUGCUCUACCCCCCCCCCCCUUGGAGGCCUAAUUCACUUUCCCUGAAAACCUCUUGUUUUAGGAAUGGCGACCCGGGACUCGGGGGUCUCUCUUGCAAACAUCUCCUGGCGUUGCGGAGGUGGGCUGCUCAAUUUAACUGCCAGGUCCCAGGGCCAUGUGAUGAGGCAGCCUGGGCCAGCUCGCCCUGUGAAUUAGUCAGGGGGGGUUAAAUAAAGGCUCUCUGAUGGAAAGGACGAUAAAAGUUCCUGCUAUUCACUGGUGAGCUCCCAGGGCCAGUUGGUCCAGUUUUUACUGCUGUGUUCCAGCCGUGUUAAUCUCAUCAGCACUCUCCCAGCUUCCUGUUCGCCUGUUGAGGGGAAGGGACAAGGGACCAGCGGAAAGAGCUCCCGGUUUGCCAGUCAGAAGAGCCGAGCUCCAUUCCCAGCUCUCCCGUUCCCCAUCUCACCGCACGACCUUGGAAAGGAGAUGGCUCCCUUUGCCCCCGUUUUCCCCUCUAGAAAGAGGAGUCGUAACAAAAGCUCAUCCUAGUAAAGUCAUCGUCUUCAAAAGGGCGGGCAACGAGGACAGAAACGAAAGAUCCUGUCCUGAGAAUAACGACGGGAGAGUUGAGAAAAAGCAUCCCUUCCUACACGAUAGACCAUCAGUCAGGAGAGAUGAGUUGAUUUCUGAGGUACCUACCUGCUCACACUGAAAACCUAACCCCAAUUUCGUCAGCGCAUCCCUCCAUGGCAAAAGAAUGAAUGAAUGAAUGAAUGAAUGAAUGAUGAAUGGUAAAUCAUUUAUUGUUUGCUAUAUGCCAAAUUGGAGAUGAAAAUAAAA
ensembl:lncRNA